AGGCUGGCUCCCGCAGCUGGUUCGCCCCGUCAGCCAGGCGGGAUGCGUCGCAAGAGGGAACCCGGUGGAAAUCCGGGACUGCCCCGCAGCGGUGAGUGGGAACGACCGCCGUCAUCCGCACUGGGUCCGAGGAGGGCCUGGGAAGCGACGGCCAUUAGGUGUCCACGCCUUGGCAAAGGCAUGGAUGUGCCCGCGAGUCCGAAGACCUGCCAACUGCCCGCGUACGGG
rnacentral:ncRNA from 1 species